rnacentral:rRNA from 1 species
CAGUCGCCGCGGUAAUACGAAGGGGGCUAGCGUUGCUCGGAAUUACUGGGCGUAAAGGGAGCGUAGGCGGAUCGUUAAGUUGGGGGUGAAAGCCCGGGGCCCAACCUCGGAACUGCCUUCAAUACUGGCGAUCUUGAGUAUGAGAGAGGUGUGUGGAACUCCGAGUGUAGAGGUGAAAUUCGUAGAUAUUCGGAAGAACACCAGUGGCGAAGGCGACACACUGGCUCAUUACUGACGCUGAGGCUCGAAAGCGUGGGGAGCAAACAGGAUUAGAGACCCCAGUAGUCCCUGUCUCUUAUAU